CUACGGGUUGCAGCAGUGGGGAAUAUUGGACAAUGGGCGCAAGCCUGAUCCAGCCAUGCCGCGUGUGUGAAGAAGGCCUUUUGGUUGUAAAGCACUUUAAGCGAGGAGGAGGCUUACCUGGUUAAUACCUGGGAUAAGUGGACGUUACUCGCAGAAUAAGCACCGGCUAGCUCUGUGCCAGCAGCCGCGGUAAUACAGAGGGUGCGAGCGUUAAUCGGAAUUACUGGGCGUAAAGCGCGCGUAGGCGGUUUGUUAAGUCGGAUGUGAAAUCCCCGGGCUCAACCUGGGAAUUGCAUUCGAUACUGGCAAGCUAGAGUAUGGGAGAGGAAGGUAGAAUUCCAGGUGUAGCGGUGAAAUGCGUAGAGAUCUGGAGGAAUACCGAUGGCGAAGGCAGCCUUCUGGCCUAAUACUGACGCUGAGGUGCGAAAGCAUGGGGAGCAAACAGGAUUAGAUACCCUUGUAGUC
rnacentral:rRNA from 1 species